GAGCAAUGAUGGAACUGACCUUUAUACUAUGAAGGUUUCUAUGCUUGAUCUGAGCUCA
rnacentral:snoRNA from 1 species